UACGUAGGUGGCAAGCGUUGUCCGGAUUUACUGGGCGUAAAGAGCGCGCAGGCGGUCGUGCAAGUCGCGUGUGAAAGCCCCCGGCUCAACUGGGGAGGGUCACGCGAUACUGCUCGACUCGAGGGCAGGAGAGGGAAGUGGAAUUCCCGGUGUAGUGGUGAAAUGCGUAGAUAUCGGGAGGAACACCAGUGGCGAAGGCGACUUCCUGGCCUGUUCUUGACGCUGAGGCGCGAGAGCUAGGGUAGCAAACGGG
rnacentral:rRNA from 1 species